CCUCACUUGGUGGAAUUGGUAGACACGACAGACUUAAAAUCUGUUGCUUUUAGCAUGUAGGUUCAAGUCCUACAGUGAGCA